GACUCCCACCUGGCUACAGCCUCCUUAAGUGCAGUUGUUGGGAGAAAUCAGGUUUUCCCUGAGCCUCCCUUUCUUCAGUAUAAACAGUCCCAGCUCCCUCAUCUGCUCCUCACUGGGGCUUGUGUUCUAGACCCUUCACCAGUCUUGUAGUCCUUCUCUGGACAUUCUCCGCAUCUCAACAUCCUUUAAACUGGGGGCCCAGCACUGGACACAGUACUCAAGGUGCGGCCUCACCAAUGCUGACCACAGAGGAAGAAUGACUUCCCUGCUCCUGCUGGCUACACUAUUCCUCAUACAGCCAGUCAAAAGGGACUUCUCACCCAUUUCUGCUUGAGCAGAGAAAGUUUCAAGCCUUCAAAACCUGCUCAUGACUGACAUGGAAUAUGAUACAAGGUACUGGAAACCUGCUCUAAGAUCUCCCUGGAGCCUUCUCUUCUCCAGCCUGAACAACACCACCUCUCUCAGACUGCCUCCAUAGGAGAGCUGCUCCAGCCCUCUGAUCGUGUUCCUAGCCCUCCUCUGGACUCACUCCAGCAGGUCUUACCCAGAAAGGUUGCUCAGAGCCCUGUCCAGCCUGACCUUGAAUGGUCAGGGAUAGUGAGGAGGUCAUACUGUGAACUGUCAUCAGAACAAAAUUAGGCAAAACACUGAAGCACAGAAAAAUACCUACUGAGUUUCUAUAUCUUCCUUCAGGAGCUGAAAUUCAGACUUUGAAUACCUGGCUAUAAAAAAGUUUAAAAAAAUUUUCUACUAUCUGCAGACACCCUAUUCUCACGUAUGUUGAUGACUUAGAGAACUUCCUGUGCCACAACAUUCCUGCAUUUGCAAUCUUGUAAUUUUUUAGAUAUUUUUUUCCAUUAUUGCUUCUCCAAAUGGCAUUCAUGAGUCAGACAUUAUUUCAGAAUAAAGUUGGGAACUUUGAGCACACCAAGUUCCUGGAAACAGGGGACUUCCGAAGCACAGAGGCCAUAUCAACUGGAGUUGCUGUUUUUCCUUGCCACCCCAACUGCUGGGUGUGAAAUCCCACCCAGACCUAGAUCUGCAGUCCGAUUUGAUGCCAUGGAUACAUAGUUAUUAAUAGAAAGUAGUUGUAAAAAACCAUGAAAAUAAACAUCCACUACAAUAGAGGCGAUGAGUUCCUGCAGUUUAACAAGUCACACAGAUUUGGUGACCUAAGUGAAGACCAAAAAUUAUGUGUGCAACUGGUUCAAAGUAGUGAACAUAUAGCCAUGAUGUAAUACCUGUUUGAAUUCUGAACAUUAUCAUUAAUAUUUUGAGAAUAUCAGUCUCCACUGUGCAUACACUGUUUUAAACCUGCUUGUGCAAAUAUUAACUUGUCUUUCCAGUUGUUUUAUGCAUCACAGUUCCACAUGCAUUCUGCAAAUGUGUCUUUGGUAAAUCUGGUCAUUGCCAUAAUCUACAAACGUGCUUUUGUGGUGCAUUUCAUCUGAUUAGAAACUCUGUGGCCAUGAUGACAGUGUUGCCCUGUCUCUGAGAGGCGCACUUGAAACAGGUUAUAAAAGGUAACCUAAGCAUGAAUCCUAUGGGAACAAAUAUUAGGGGGAAACCCCUUAUUUCUCAAUCAAAAGGGGGAAAUAAGGGGGAAACUAAAAAAAACUGACACUCCAUUUGAGGUUUGUGGUGCUACCUGUACUUACCAAGGCUCUUGCUAUUAUAGUAUGAUACACUAGCGUUUCAUUUCAUGCACUUGCCCUUUAUCUCAAGAAAAAGGGAUUUUCCUGAGUAAUAAUGCUGUUGUUACUGAUCAAUUGGUUCUUCUGCCAGAUUCUUUUUUUUUUGUUUUUCCUUAGGACAUUAGGGAGGAGAGGAUGGCAGACAGAAACAUUUCUGUCAAUUUCAUCUUUCCUCUGAAGCCUUGAUAACUCUGUUCAAAGUUGAAAGAAGAAAACAAGAUAUGAAAAACAGACCUUUAUUUGUGUAGUAAAAGGUGAGAAAAAUUCAGUGGGUUUUUGCACAGUGAAAUCACCCCUGCCUAGGUCUGGUGUUUAGUUUUUGCUGGUGUAAUUUAUUUAUAAGCUAUAUUAAAUAUUUGUAAAGCUAGC